rnacentral:rRNA from 1 species
AAUCAACGCUGGCGGCGUGCCUCAGACAUGCAAGUCGAACGAUUAAAGCUCUCUUCGGAGAGUGUAUAGAGUGGCGCACGGGUGAGUAACACGUAAGUAAUCUACCCUCGAGUGGGGAAUAACAACCGGAAACGGUUGCUAAUACCGCAUAAUGCAGCGGCACCGCAAGGUGACAGUUGUUAAAGAUUUAUCGCUUGAGGAGGAGCUUGCGGCAGAUUAGCUAGUUGGUAGGGUAACGGCUUACCAAGGCUACGAUCUGUAACCGGUCUAAGAGGACGGUCGGUCACACUGACACUGAAUAACGGGUCAGACUCCUACGGGAGGCAGCAGUCGGGAAUUUUGGGCAAUGGGCGAAAGCCUGACCCAGCAACGCCGCGUGAAGGAUGAAGUAUUUCGGUAUGUAAACUUCGAAAGAGUAGGAAGAAUUAAUGACGGUACUAUUUAUAAGGCCCGGCUAACUACGUG